UGAGGAACAUGACCUUCGGCGGGGGAUAGCCGGCCCAACGGCCGGGUAAUACCGCGUACGACCACAUGGGGACAUCCCUGAGUGGUGAAAGCAGCAAUGCGCCGAUGGAGUGCCUCGCGGCCUAUCAGCUAGUUGGUGAGGUAACGGCUCACCAAGGCGACGACGGGUAGCUGGUCUGAGAGGACGACCAGCCCACACUGGAACUGAGAUACGGUCCAGACCUCCGUAGGGAGG
rnacentral:rRNA from 1 species